rnacentral:misc_RNA from 1 species
GAUGAAGAACGUAGCGAAAUGCGAUAAGUAAUGUGAAUUGCAGAAUUCCGUGAAUCAUCGAAUCUUUGAACGCACAUAGCGCCCCCUGGCAUUCCGGGGGGCAUGCCUGUCCGAGCGUCAUUUCUGCCCUCCAGCCCGGCUGGGUGUUGGGCGCUGUCCCCCCGGGGACACGCCCCAAAGGCAGUGGCGGCGCCGCGUCGGGUCCUCGAGCGUAUGGGGCUUUGUCACCCGCUCGGGACGGACUCGUCGGCGCUGGUCUUCCUCCAGGCGACCCUUCGGGGCUCGUCUUCCUUCGGUUGACCUCGGAUCAGGUAGGGUUACCCGCUGAACUUAAGCAUAUCAAUAAGCGGAGGA